CCUACGGGAGGCAGCAGUGGGGAAUUUUGGACAAUGGGCGCAAGCCUGAUCCAGCAAUGCCGCGUGAGUGAAGAAGGCCUUCGGGUUGUAAAGCUCUUUUGUCAGGGAAGAAACGGGUUUGGCUAAUAUCCAGACCUAAUGACGGUACCUGAAGAAUAAGCACCGGCUAACUACGUGCCAGCAGCCGCGGUAAUACGUAGGGUGCAAGCGUUAAUCGGAAUUACUGGGCGUAAAGCGUGCGCAGGCGGUUUUAGUAAGUUUGUCGUGAAAUCCCCGGGCUCAACCUGGGAAUGGCGAUGAAGACUGCAAGGCUAGAGUUUGGCAGAGGGGGGUAGAAUUCCACGUGUAGCAGUGAAAUGCGUAGAUAUGUGGAGGAACACCGAUGGCGAAGGCAGCCCCCUGGGUCAAGACUGACGCUCAUGCACGAAAGCGUGGGGAGCAAACAGGAUUAGAUACCCUGGUAGUCCACGCCCUAAACGAUGUCUACUAGUUGUCGGGUCUUUAAUUGACUUGGUAACGCAGCUAACGCGUGAAGUAGACCGCCUGGGGAGUACGGUCGCAAGNUUAAAACNCAAAGGAAUUGACGGCGNGAGAGNGCGAGACGACACGAGGAGAGG
rnacentral:rRNA from 1 species